ACGUAUGUUGAUACUAGCAAUAUCAUUGUAUAAGUUGCCUUCUAACCGCAAGAACACAGCUGGAUGCACGCUUACAGAAGGCAUAAAUCACGCCAUUCUCAGUGGAAGGAAAGUCUCAAUGUGAAUACCUACGGCGGAUGAGAGCAUUCGAAUUGCUGCAGACGUCGUGGAUUGCAACGAUCUUGUAGUAAUAACAAUAGUAAUAACAACAAUCCUACUCGCACAGGUCGGGCGCAGGACGCCGUCGAAGAUGACGACCGAAAGCAGCGGUGAGCGAAUCAAGUGGUUUCAAUCAUUCGUGCAAAUCGUUCCGAACAUCAUCGCAUCGCAUAGCACCGCGCUGCUGUGGAAGGCAGGCAGACGACGUCUGUACUGAUAAGCCAAGAGAAGUGUGUGACCUCGUUGAAUGAUCUUCAGGUCAUCCCCGUUUUCCUUUUUGCUCAGUUUGUUAUAAUAUUUUUGAUAUGCACAACUAUAGGCAAUCGUUUUAGUGGCCGAUGAAUUAUUAUCAACAAGUGUCCACUUCUUACCUUUAUAAAGGUUGUAUUUAGUGCAAGCAUUCAAUUUUUAACAAAAUGGAGAAUAAGUCCACUGAAAAGACUAUUCGGAAUGUAAUAUAGCGCCUCCAGCUCGGUUAAACGGGGACUAUGUGGGUCAUACCCGACAAUUGCAGCAGAUAAGCUGGGGGUGCUAAUUCUCAAGUGUCAGCUCUGUGCUUCUAUCGACAGAAAACGAUACGCAAUUCCUGCCUAGAUUACGAGAACGUCCAUACGGACUGUAUGAACACAGCUUUUAUGUUUCAUUCUAGUAACAAUGCUUCCUGAUUCUGAAAAUCAGAAAACACUGUACUCUCUGAAAGUAUAAAAUAUGACUGCAUAUAGCAACAGGUAGUACCAAAGUGCAAUCGAAUUUGUUGUUGUUUAUGAAGUACUCUAAAAGUAGUGAUUAGUUCCACACGCUUGAACCCACGUUAAUUACAGCCCCUAGGGAUACAAAAAAUUGUUAUCACUACGUACAAAAUUUAUUAAAUCGCCUCUUUUUUGCUUUCUGCUCAAUUAAGCUAUCAAUCGAGUAUCCUGUCUGCUUGGAAAUAAAAGGCUGAAGGCACUUGAAAAAAAAGUGAUAUACUUCAUACCACCAGGAAUGAACAAAGUUCACGAACGCUAGAUGAUAAGCGGAAAGAAAUGCUGAUUAGAUUAAGCGUAAAUCAUAGACAAUGCUAAAAAUCAACGUAAUGCUUUUUUUUUGUAAAAUUUAAAUUAAUCUGUUCUGGCAGGAAAUUCCCACCGAAACGAUACGAUACAAGCAAGGGUAAAUUGGAACUGUUUCUAAGUAAAACGAUGAAAGUGAGAGCUCACACAGCAUCGAAACAAGUACUAAAUUUAUGUGUGCUAACAAUCAAUGUUAUACUAAAUCAUUUCGCAUUGGUUUCAGUGGUGAUUGCUUUAAUUGCGGCCAUAAAUUUCAGAGAAAUAUUCAAACUGAUACUACUAGAUUCCAAUUUACGAGAUCAGAUAAUGACUAUUCACUAUUCCUUAUUUUUACUUAGCAGUAAAAUCUCCUGAGAAUUGCCCGCGAAGCUAUCAUUCAAUAUUAAAGUAAUUAGUGCGAAUUUUUUAUUCAAUCGAAAGCCAACAUUUAUUCCAUUCAAUAUUUGUUAGUGCAGGCAACUGAUUAUAAAAAUGAAAUAAAAAUGAAAACUGUGAACUGUAAUUUUCUCUAUAACGUAUUGGUAAAAUAGAUAACCAAACAUUAUGAAUGUCAAUCAGUUUUUAAAGUAAAACCACACCUUGUAAUAGUACAUUCUAGUGCAAAACUUCAGAAGAAUAGCAACAAACAAACCCAACAAACGAUUGUUAGCGCUGCAUUCUGAUUAUAACCUCUACAACUGUUAUAACACUAAUUUCCUUCAAUUAUUGAUGCUCUCAGAUUGAUACAUAGCAUAAUCAUGUACUUACAGGAUAAUUAAGCACAAUAGUAUUAUAUUAAUUACGUAUAUCUGAACACUCACCCUAUUUCCGGAAUCUGAGCCUUUAACUGCAGGUAACAAUGUUAUAUUCGAAGGCUUGUAAACUUAACCCGCAACUUAUUAUUGCAAAACUUUCUCUCGAACAGAUAUCUUUCACAAAAACCAUGUGUAUUAAUAGUUAGUAGCGCAUCAACCGAUUAUAUAACAAGGUGAAAUUACUAGCUUUAAGUAAACUAUUAAAUGAUAAAACAACAUUUAAUGUACCGGUUAGCUACACGUAAACACAGCGUGGGAUGGCAGAAAGCUUGCGCAAGAUAUGUUGAAAUCUAGAUAAACAUUUCAAAAGGUCCUAUCUAACAUGAAGGCAAAACCGAGUAAAAUGAUCCUGAAGUUCAGCGCAAUAUAUUGUGGCGUCAGCACUAAAUUAAAGUUCGGAGGUCGGACUUCCGACUUCCGAACUUUCUUCCGACUUUACAUACACAUAGAAUAACUGCGUGUUCACGGUGUUCACAGCGCAGUGGCCGCUGAGAUGGUUGCAGUGUUGCGAGAACAACAAAAAUAAACAUCGGAAGUGAGCCUGACUGCCAGAUCAUCGGCGACGAUUUGAUCAUUUUUAUUUAAAUGCACAAUAUUUAAAUGCUAUUUUCAAUUGUAAUGCAAAAGGUUAACUUUUUCCAACUCAACUGCAAAUAAAGGAUGCAAUCUUGAAUUACAACAGA